rnacentral:rRNA from 1 species
AUUGAACGCUGGCGGCAGGCCUAACACAUGCAAGUCGAACGGUAACAGGAAGAAGCUUGCUUCUUUGCUGACGAGUGGCGGACGGGUGAGUAAUGUCUGGGAAACUGCCUGAUGGAGGGGGAUAACUACUGGAAACGGUAGCUAAUACCGCAUAACGUCGCAAGACCAAAGAGGGGGACCUUCGGGCCUCUUGCCAUCGGAUGUGCCCAGAUGGGAUUAGCUAGUAGGUGGGGUAACGGCUCACCUAGGCGACGAUCCCCAGCUGGUCUGAGAGGAUGACCAGCCACACUGGAACUGAGACACGGUCCAGACUCCUACGGGAGGCAGCAGUGGGGAAUAUUGCACAAUGGGCGCAAGCCUGAUGCAGCCAUGCCGCGUGUAUGAAGAAGGCCUUCGGGUUGUAAAGUACUUUCAGCGGGGAGGAAGGGAGUAAAGUUAAUACCUUUGCUCAUUGACGUUACCCGAAGAAGAAGCACCGGCUAACUCCGUG